ensembl:misc_RNA predicted gene, 27818
UAGUGUGGGUGGCCUGGAAAAGCUCUAGGCUCUUAGAAUAACAUUAAUGAAGUAACAGGAGGCAAAAGGCCUGGAGCUAUGCUCAGCUUAGGGGUAGCUGUGUCUUUACCACAGGAUGUGUGCCUCAAGCACCCAGGAAACAGCCUUUCUAAAAGAAGA